rnacentral:rRNA from 1 species
AGAGUUUGAUCCUGGCUUAGGAUGAACGCUAGCUACAGGCUUAACACAUGCAAGUCGAGGGGUAGCAGGGUAGCAAUACCGCUGACGACCGGCGCACGGGUGAGUAACACGUAUCCAACCUUCCCAUAACUCAGGGAUAGCCUUUCGAAAGAAAGAUUAAUACCUGAUAGUACUUUUUCAAGGCAUCUUGAGAAAGUUAAAGAUUUAUUGGUUAUGGAUGGGGAUGCGUUCCAUUAGAUAGUUGGUGAGGUAACGGCUCACCAAGUCCUCGAUGGAUAGGGGUUCUGAGAGGAAGGUCCCCCACAUUGGUACUGAGACACGGACCAAACUCCUACGGGAGGCAGCAGUGAGGAAUAUUGGUCAAUGGGCGAGAGCCUGAACCAGCCAAGUAGCGUGAAGGAUGAAGGUCCUAUGGAUUGUAAACUUCUUUUAUAGUAGAAUAAAGUGAUCCACGUGUGGAUUUUUGUAUGUAUACUAUGAAUAAGGAUCGGCUAACUCCGUGCCAGCAGCGGC